rnacentral:rRNA from 1 species
AGUGAACGCUGGCGGUAGGCCUAACACAUGCAAGUCGAACGGCAGCACAGUAAGAGCUUGCUCUUACGGGUGGCGAGUGGCGGACGGGUGAGGAAUACAUCGGAAUCUACUUUUUCGUGGGGGAUAACAUAGGGAAACUUACGCUAAUACCGCAUACGACCUACGGGUGAAAGCAGGGGAUCUUCGGACCUUGCGCGAUUGAAUGAGCCGAUGUCGGAUUAGCUAGUUGGCGGGGUAAAGGCCCACCAAGGCGACGAUCCGUAGCUGGUCUGAGAGGAUGAGCAGCCACACUGGAACUGGGACACGGUCCAGACUCCUACGGGAGGCAGCAGUGGGGAAUAUUGGACAAUGGGCGCAAGCCUGAUCCAGCCAUACCGCGUGGGUGAAGAAGGCCUUCGGGUUGUAAAGCCCUUUUGUUGGGAAAGAAAAGCAGCAGGUUAAUACCCCGCUGUUCUGACGGUACCCAAAGAAUAAGCACCGGCUAACUUCGUG